CCCUUAGAUGUUCUGGGCCGCACGCGCGCUACAAUGAUGAAUUCAACGAGUUUAUAACCUUGGUUGAAAAGCCUGGGUAAUCUUUUGAACUUUCGUCGUGAUGGGGCUAGACCCUUGCAAUUAUUGGUCUCCAACGAGGAAUUCCUAGUAAACGCAAGUCAUCAGCUUGCAUUGAUUACGUCCCUGCCCUUUGUACACACCGCCCGUCGCACCUACCGAUUGAAUGGUCCGGUGAAAUCUUCGGAUUGAGACUUUGUUUUCUUCACGGAAAACGCUGUUUUAAAAAGUUGAUUAAACCUUACCAUUGAGAGGAAGGUGAAGUCGUAACA
rnacentral:rRNA from 1 species